rnacentral:lncRNA from 1 species
GGUGAAGAAAGAUGAUGAGAGGACGAAGGAGGCUUGUUGUUUCUCCUUUUCUUGCGUUUCCGUUUUUUUGGUAAGUGGAGAGAGAAGACAGAUUUGUGAGUGAGGUGAGGUCGUGGUAAUGAGUGAUGGUAAUUCAAUUUAUUUCUCUCCUUUUUGUAACGUUGAGUGUGCAGAGAAAAAAUAGAGCUAGCUGGCAUCUACUCUUUUCAAUUUUAUUACCGUUGGAGUGUGUGGAGAGAGAGAGAGUUUUUUAUUUUAUUUUAUUUAUUUCCAGAUUUUCUAUUUAACUAUUUAUUUAAAUUUCUAUUUUAUGAUUGGAUAUUAGAAAUGAGUAUGGAUUGCUAACAUGGGCCUUUGAUUAAUUUGAAUCAACGAUUUAGAUUGAAUCAAAGAAACACAUCUUUUUAAAAUAAAUUAAAAUGUCUAUAAUGUUGUUUUUAUAUGAUUUAAUCGUUUUAAAAUAAUUUAAAUCAAUUGAAUCAAAUAAAAUUCACAACAUUUU